GAAUGCUCUGGGCACCUGGCUGUAGAAGGAAGAAUAGAAAUUGCGAUAACAAAAUCUUAAAUAGAAUACUAACAAUGUUCUAAUUAGACUAUUAUAAUGGUAAACAAACGUAAUCAAAUUCAAAACAACUCAAAGAAAUUUCAAACAAACAAUAAAAUUCUUAAAGAAAUAUUAGAAUGAUUACAAAUUUUACUCAAAUAUAUGUCAAUUCAACCUUAAUUUAAUUCUUGUUAAAACCCUAUUGAAUUUCAUUCAACUUUAGACCAAACCUAAUUAAAUCUUAAACCCUAAUAAUUCCUAAAUCCUAAGUCAAAUCCUAAACAAAUCUUAAAUUAAACCCUAUUCCAAACCCUAAAUCCUAAACCAAAUCCUAAACCAAAUCCUAAUCCAACCCUAAAUCCUAAAUCAAACCUUAAAUCAAAUCCUAACCAAACUCUAAUCCAAACCCUAAAUCAAACCCUAACCAAACUCUAAACCCUAAUCCAAAUCCUAAUCCAACCCUAAACUCUAAUCCAAAUCCUAAACUCUAAACCAAACCUUAAAUCAAAUCCUAACCAAAUUCUAAAUCCUAAUCCAAACCCUAAUCCAAACCCUAGCCAAACCCUAAUCCAAAUCCUAAUCCAAAUCCUAAUCCAAAUCCUAAAUCAAACCCUAACCAAAUUCUAAACCCUAAUCCAAACCCUAAUCCAAACCCUAAUCUAGAUCCUAAUCCAAACCCUAAACCGAACCCUAGCCA
rnacentral:lncRNA from 1 species